UGCCUUUUUAUAGGCCAAGGUGCUGGAUGCUCAGCUACCUUGUUUGGCAGCUAAGUUGCUCACCUUUGGCCCCUAUUAAGAGCCACUUUGGCCCCUACUUGACCCCUAUGGUGGGCUAGGUUACAUGCAUGGUGACACCUCCUCCUUCUUGUCAUAGCCUUAUGUCAUCCAUGAGGUCAUGUUCUUGGCCUUUAAGCAAAGAAAAAGUAAGAU
rnacentral:lncRNA from 1 species